UGGGGAAUAUUGCACAAUGGGCGAAAGCCUGAUGCAGCAACGCCGCGUGAAGGAAGAAGGUUUUCGGAUCGUAAACUUCUAUCGAUGGGGACGAAUAAUGACGGUACCCAAGUAAGAAGCCCCGGCUAACUACGUGCCAGCAGCCGCGGUAAUACGUAGGGGGCAAGCGUUAUCCGGAAUUACUGGGUGUAAAGGGUGAGUAGGCGGUUUCGUAAGUCAUAUGUGAAACCUCACAGCUUAACUGUGAGCUUGCAUAAGAAACUACGGAACUAGAGUACAGGAGAGGUAAGUGGAAUUCUUAGUGUAGCGGUGAAAUGCGUAGAUAUUAAGAAGAACACCAGUGGCGAAGGCGGCUUACUGGACUGAAACUGACGCUGAGUCACGAAAGCGUGGGGAGCAAACA
rnacentral:rRNA from 1 species